GAUGAACGCUGGCGGCGUGCCUAAUACAUGCAAGUCGAGCGAACAGACGAGGAGCUUGCUCCUCUGACGUUAGCGGCGGACGGGUGAGUAACACGUGGAUAACCUACCUAUAAGACUGGGAUAACUUCGGGAAACCGGAGCUAAUACCGGAUAAUAUAUUGAACCGCAUGGUUCAAUAGUGAAAGACGGUUUUGCUGUCACUUAUAGAUGGAUCCGCGCCGCAUUAGCUAGUUGGUAAGGUAACGGCUUACCAAGGCAACGAUGCGUAGCCGACCUGAGAGGGUGACAGGCCACACUGGAACUGAGACACGGUCCAGACUCCUACGGGAGGCAGCAGUAGGGAAUCUUCCGCAAUGGGCGAAAGCCUGACGGAGCAACGCCGCGUGAGUGAUGAAGGUCUUCGGAUCGUAAAACUCUGUUAUUAGGGAAGAACAAAUGUGUAAGUAACUAUGCACGUCUUGACGGUACCUAAUCAGAAAGCCACGGCUAACUACGUG
rnacentral:rRNA from 1 species